rfam:Ictidomys tridecemlineatus contig075943, whole genome shotgun sequence.
UGGGUUGUGGCUCAGUGGUAGAGCACUCGCCUCUUAUGUGUGAGACCCUGGGUUCAAUCCUCAGCACCAUAU